rnacentral:rRNA from 1 species
GUGGAGUCGGAGAUCUUCCCAGUGGGUGUACGCAUCUAAACGGGGGCGGUAAUGAGUCCAAAGGUAGCUAAAUUACUGGACCAGUAAUUCUGGUUCAUACAUUAAAAAGUGAAGGGGCUGACGAGUCUUUAACUGUCUCUACACGAAUUCGUUGGAAAUUUAGUUGGAAGUGCAAACGCUUUCGUGGGUUAGAAAGACGAGAAGACCCUAUGAAGUUUUUCUAGCGGUUCCCGGGAUUGGGCCUGACCCUGGCGCAUUCUCCCUGGGCGUAGCUUUUGCUGGGGCAGCAGGAGAGCAGAACUAGCCUCGACCGCUGGUAUAACAAGCUGAUGUGCCGGAGAUCCACUGGAGUAAAGGAGACGAUCAGGAGAAAGAGUUACUCUAGGGAUAACAGCGUAAUUUUGCCUAUUGAGGACGUAUUGUUAGGCAAGGUUGCGACCUCGAUGUUGGCUCUGGGUAUCCGUGGACAAAGGAGGAGGUCCAAAUGGUUGGUUUGUUCGCCCAUUAAAACCC